rnacentral:rRNA from 1 species
UGCAGUCGACGAACCUUCGGGUUAGUGGCGGACGGGUGAGUAACGCGUGAGAAUCUGCCCUCAGGAGGGGGAUAACAGUUGGAAACGACUGCUAAUACCCCAUAUGCCGAGAGGUGAAACGAAUUUUGCCUGGGGAUGAGCUCGCGUCUGAUUAGCUUGUUGGUGGGGUAAAAGCCUACCAAGGCUUCGAUCAGUAGCUGGUCUGAGAGGACGAUCAGCCACACUGGGACUGAGAUACGGCCCAGACUCCUACGGGAGGCAGCAGUGGGGAAUUUUCCGCAAUGGGCGCAAGCCUGACGGAGCAACGCCGCGUGAGGGAUGAAGGCCUUUGGGCUGUAAACCUCUUUUCUCAAGGAAGAAGAUCUGACGGUACUUGAGGAAUAAGCCACGGCUAAUUCCGUGCCAGCAGCCGCGGUAAUACGGGAGUGGCAAGCGUUAUCCGGAAUUAUUGGGCGUAAAGCGUCCGCAGGCGGCCGUUUAAGUCUGUUGUUAAAUCGUGGAGCUCAACUCCAUCACGGCAAUGGAAACUGUUCGGCUUGAGUAUGGUAGGGGCAGAGGGAAUUUCCGGUGUAGCGGUGAAAUGCGUAGAUAUCGGGAAGAACACCAGUGGCAAAAGCGCUCUGCUGGGCCAUUACUGACGCUCAUGGACGAAAGCCAGGGGAGCGAAAGGGAUUAGAUACCCCUGUAGUCCUG